rnacentral:rRNA from 1 species
CCUACGGGAGGCAGCAGUAGGGAAUAUUGCCCAAUGGGGGAAACCCUGAAGCAGCAACGCCGCGUGGAGGAUGAAGGUUUUCGGAUUGUAAACUCCUUUUGUUAGAGAAGAUAAUGACGGUAUCUAACGAAUAAGCACCGGCUAACUCCGUGCCAGCAGCCGCGGUAAUACGGAGGGUGCAAGCGUUACGCGGAAUCACUGGGCGUAACGAGCGCGUAGGCGGGUGAGCAAGUCAGAUGUGAAAUCCUAUGGCUUAACCAUAGAACUGCAUUUGAAACUGUUAUUCUAGAGUAUGGGAGAGGUAGGUGGAAUUCUUGGUGUAGGGGUAAAAUCCGUAGAGAUCAAGAGGAAUACUCAUUGCGAAGGCGACCUGCUAGAACAUAACUGACGCUGAUGCGCGAAAGCGUGGGGAGCAAACAGGAUUAGAUACCCGAGUAGUC